AUCCAGCCGCCUCCGGAGCGCUGCAGAGACGGGCGCUCUCCACAAGAUGUCGCCAGACUUUUCCAGGCCGAUAAGUACGGGCUGAGCUCGUCUGUCCCGCCCACCUGGGUGCCGGAGAGCCCAUCUAUUCCAUCUCUGUCCCCGAUCAGCAUCCCUCCGAUCCCCGGAGCGCACCCUCCUGGAACAAGUUUGCAUUCCAGUCAAGAAGUUGCUAAUCCUUCGUUUUGUUGCAGCCCGACAAUAAGAAAAUCACGUUUCAUCGCUUAAGCAUUUUCCAGUGAUGCAUCUAUAAGAAUUUCGUCUCCCCGCAGGGAUGUAGUCCCAAGGGAGGGGGCG